rnacentral:rRNA from 1 species
ACUGCUCAGUAACACGUGGACAACCUGCCCUUAGGUUGGGUAUAAACCCGGGAAACUGGGUAUAAUACCCGAUAGGUCUCGAUUGCUGGAAUGCAUCGAGAUUUAAAGCUCCGGCGCCUAAGGAUGGGUCUGCGGCCUAUCAGGUAGUAGUGGGUGUAGCGUACCUACUAGCCUACGACGGGUACGGGUUGUGAGAGCAAGAGCCCGGAGAUGGAUUCUGAGACACGAAUCCAGGCCCUACGGGGUGCAGCAGGCGCGAAAACUUUACAAUGCUGGCAACAGCGAUAAGGGAACCUCGAGUGCCAGGUUACAAAUCUGGCUGUCGAGAUGCCUAAAAAGCAUUUCAUAGCAAGGGCCGGGCAAGACCGGUGCCAGCCGCCGCGGUAACACCGGCGGCUCGAGUGGUAACCGUUAUUAUUGGGUCUAAAGGGUCUGUAGCCGGCCGGAUAAGUCUCUUGAGAAAUCUGGCAGCUUAACUGUCAGGCUUUCAGGAGAUACUGUCUGGCUCGAGGCCGGGAGAGGUGAGAGGUGCUUCAGGGGUAGGGGUGAAAUCUUGUAAUCCUUGAAGGACCACCAGUGGCGAAGGCGUCUCACCAGAACGGACCUGACGGCAAGGGACGAAAGCUAGGGGCACGAACCGGAUUAGAUACCCGGGUAGUCCUAGCCGUAAACGAUACUCGCUAGGUGUCGGCCACGGUGCGACCGUUGUCGGUGCCGUAGGGAAGCCGUGAAGCGAGCCACCUGGGAAGUACGGCCGCAAGGCUGAAACUUAAAGGAAUUGGCGGGGGAGCACCACAACGGGUGGAGCUUGCGGUUUAAUUGGAUUCAACGCCGGAAAUCUUACCGGGACCGACAGCAAUAUGAAGGCCAGGCUGAAGACUUUGCCGGAUUAGCUGAGAGGUGGUGCAUGGCCGUCGUCAGUUCGUACUGUGAAGCAUCCUGUUAAGUCAGGCAACGAGCGAGACCCGUACC